rnacentral:rRNA from 1 species
AAAACACUGACGAACGCUGGCGGCGUGCCUAACACAUGCAAGUCGAGCGGAGAUAGGGCUUCGGUCCUAUUUCAGCGGCGGACGGGUGAGUAACGCGUGAACAAUCUGUCCUAUACAGGGGGAUAACACUUGGAAACAGGUGCUAAUACCGCAUAAGCCCACAGCCCGGCAUCGGGCAGAGGGAAAAGGGGCAACUCGGUAUAGGGUGAGUUCGCGUCCCAUUAGCUAGUUGGCGGGGUGAAGGCCCACCAAGGCGACGAUGGGUAGCCGACCUGAGAGGGUGAUCGGCCACACUGGAACUGAGAAACGGUCCAG